rnacentral:lncRNA from 1 species
GGGAGAGAAAGAAAGGAGGUUAAGGAUGGGGCUGGAAGUGUGGCCACUAGGUUGAUCUCAGGGAGGGCAGGCCAGGGUGGGGAAGGCUUAGUUCCAGAUUAGCUCUAAAGGCUUGGGUUUGGAACUAUCUUUGCAUAGGAUCUAACUGACACAGUUAAGAGUCCAGACAGCAGGGCCAGAGAAGCAUGGACCCUUCUAGGAAAGAGAAUGCAGGGAAAACUCUUGGAAUAUCUUCGUUUAUGAUUCUAAGAAUAUGCUGAAGUUUACCAGUUGGAAAAAGGAGGGAGCAGCUGUUAAAGAUUAACCAUGGUUAAGAUUAAGGUGAUAAGGAAGGAGGAAGGAAGCUGAGUAAGAUUGGCAAGUGGAGAACUGGGGUGCAGGAUUGUCUUGGAGAUAGGAUUGGGCUUGAGUAGGUCUUUUUUUGUUUGUUUGCUUUUUGUUUUUUGAGACAGGGUCUUACUCUGUCACCCAGACUGGAGUGCAGUGGUGCCAUCUUGACUCACUGCAGCCUUGAACUCCAGGGCUCAAACGAUCCUCUCACUUCAGCUUCCUGAGUAGGUGAGACUACAGACAUGUGCCACCAUGCCCAGGUAAUUUUCUAUUUUCUGUAGAGACGGACAGUAGGUCUAAAAUUUGGGGCUCUCCUCAUUUGUUUUGCAGUUUCUGACACCAUGACUGUGGGUGAAGGUUGAGAGAUAAAGGAAAUGGAAAAAAAUGAUGGAAUAUGAAGGUUUUUUUAUGGAUGCAAUCACCUGACUAACAUAGUGAUCCAAGUUCAAAUAUUCCAUGGUUGAAAGCAUGUACAGGCAGGUGAAAACAUGUACAGGCAGCUUUUGAAAGCAUGUACAGGCAGGUGACAAUGAGAUUAUGUGAGCAAAAUAAGAGGAAGGGUGUUCGUUUUUGUCUUCUGUACUUGCAAAUGAAAAAUGUUCCCCUUAUACUAUAACCUUUUUCCUCUCCUGGGCUACUCCAUAUCAGAGAGUGAAUGCAGCCAAGUCCUACUCCAUGUUGUGGCUUGAGGAAGCUCAUGGCCUCCAGUACCACCGGCCAUUACCAAUGAACAUGAAACUAGAGAAGGUGGCUCUUCCCAUCUAUUUUAAUCCCCCUUCUACUAAACACCUUCUAAUUCUAUAUUUCCCAGGCACUGUAUCCUUAGAAGUUUCAAAAGAUGAUGCCCCAAACCACUUUGUUUACUCCCUGGAGAACUAUUUGGAGUCAUAUCCACAGUUUUCACGUGAUCUAGCAGAAGUGCACAGGCACCAUAAACUCCAAAAGAGAACCAGAGAAGAGUGACAGCUGCGAUUUUUUCAUGGAGUUGUUGUGAGGAUCCAAAGGGCAUGUGGUUCUAGAGUGCAGAUUGUAAUAAUAGUAAUAAUAGUAAGUGGCAGAUGAUAUGUGAUACAGCACCUGAGAGUGCAGCCCAGAUAAACAAAAUCACAAGGUAAACCAAUGCCUAUGAGGAAGGCAGCAGAUCUGGCAGGACCCGGGCAGUAAGGAAGCCAGCCCUCAGUGAUGACAACUGAUCUGACACUCCAUCCCCCACCUGCUGCCACAACUUGUGGGGGAGCCCUUACUCCUAAUCAUCCUGACCGCAUCAGUAACCUUAGGGAGGGCUCUUCUCUCCCAAGCUCCAUUCUUAGCCUCCCAUGCACGUUGAAGGGUAUUGGCCUCCUUUACAAAGCCUAAGAAGAUCAAGAAUCUGGAUAUUCUUGAUGAGCCUCACCUGCCAGCUUGGUUAUUCAAGAAAAGUUGUACAUGAAAUUAACAAGAAAAGCAUGUUAAUAUGAUGGAUUACACUGAGAGUGAUUUUUGAAAUAUUCUGCCAGGCUUACAUUCUGGAAUAAGCCCUACAUAGGCAUGAUGUGGGAAAUGGGAGACACACCGUGGUACACACACACAAUGGAAACUUUUGAGCAAUAAAAAGACAAGGAACUAUUUACAUACACCAUGACUUGGCAAGAUCUCAAAGGCACCGUGUCAGAUACAAGAAGUUGGUCUCAACAAUUACAUAGGUAAGAAUCAACUUAGCCUUUCCUGUGACACUCAGGAAAGGCAAAACUAUAGGAAAGAGUGAAUGCCAGGGGUUGGGGUUGGGUUUGGGGUGAUGGAACUGUUCUGUAACCUGAUUUUGAUCGUGACUACAUGAAUCUAUACCUGUGUUUAAAUCCAUUAAGUUGUGCAUAGAAAACAGUCAACUUACUGUAUGUUUUUAAAUAAAAUAAAAUCAGGGUGUGGAAACUGACCUUUGUAUUCACUUAUUUAUUCAGAAAUAAUUUUGAAUACAUAUUUUAUACUAAGUGCUGUUCUAGCUGCAAAGAAUAUAGCAGUGAGCAAAAUAAGGGGUUUAAUUUUGUUUAGAAGACACAGAAAAUAAACAUCGAGUAAGUAUAUUUGAUAUGAUAUGAUAUGAGAUAUGGUAUGAUAUGAUACGAUAUGAUACGAUAUCAACCAAUGAUGUAUGCCAUGGAAAAAAUAACAAAGGAGUUUAGGAGAUAGAGAAUUACGUGGACAGGUAUCAGCAAGUCAUGACUUGAGGGUCGACUGCCAGAAGCUAAGAAUAAUUGUGUUGUAUCAAUGGUCAAAAAGAUCAAAAGAGGAGUAACAUUUCAUGACACAUUUAAAAUAUAUGAAAUUAUAUGAAUUAUAUGAAGUUGGCAUUUCAGUAUCCAUAAAUAAGGUUUUACUGGAACACAGCCAUAUUCACUCAUUCAUUCAUGUAUUGUCUUCAUGCUUCUUCACUACAAUGGCAGAACUGAGUGGUUGCAGAAGAGACUUAUGUUUUGCAAAGCCUGACUCUUUACAUAAAAAGUAUGCCAACCGCUGCUGUAAACAAUGCUAAGUGAAGGUGGUCAGGGAAGGCCUCUGUGAUGAGUUAUUUUCUGAGCAGAGGCCUGACAGAGGUGAGAGGUGGGCCCACAGGUUACUGGAAGAAUCCCCUAAGGCUGUAGCCCCAGUUGGGGUUGCCUGCAUGGGGCAUUCAACAAAUAACAGAGGCCACGUGUUGGGUCUGAGUGAGGGAAUGUGAAGUGGCAAGUGAUGGGUCACAGUAGACCAAGGGCCUGUUUAUAUAGCUCAGUAGGCCACUGUGCACAAUCUUGAUUUUCUCUGAGCCACAGGGAAGCCCUUGGAGGGGGUUUGAGCAGAGACAAUAUCUAUAGUGCCUGGCAAAUGGGAAGGGGUUUAUAAAUGUGAGCUAUUGUUAUUACCAACAAUACCA